GGUGGCACAGUGGUUAAGAGUUUGGCUGGUAACCAAAAGGUUGGUGGUUCAAAUCCACCAGCCA
rnacentral:tRNA from 1 species